rnacentral:rRNA from 1 species
UACGAAGGGGGCUAGCGUUGCUCGGAAUCACUGGGCGUAAAGGGUGCGUACGCGGGUCUUUAAGUCAGGGGUGAAAUCCUGGAGCUCAACUCCAGAACUGCCUUUGAUACUGAAGAUCUUGAGUUCGGGAGAGGUGAGUGGAACUGCGAGUGUAGAGGUGAAAUUCGUAGAUAUUCGCAAGAACACCAGUGGCGAAGGCGGCUCACUGGCCCGAUACUGACGCUGAGGCACGAAAGCGUGGGGAGCAAACAGG